AAGAUAGAUGUUCUUGAAAUACCAUUUAUACCCUUUUUCUAAAUUCUCUUCAAUUAGGCUGUCCACGUGGACAUCCUCUUUAUCCAAUUUUUUCCUUUCACUGACUCUACACUCAGAUAACCUUUUUAUUUUUUUCCUUUCCCUUACUCAACAUUUUGCUUGUCUUUUCAGUUUUCUUUCCUGUUGCUUUUCUCAAUACUAUUUGUUACUUUUUUUUUCCAUCCUAUCCUAUCAAGUCUGCAGCACAUUGAACCUAUCAGCUUUGCUUGCAACUAUGGAUUUGGUUGAAUCGAUACAAACCACUUCUCUCUUAAAUAUUUUUCCUAAAACUAUACCAACAUUCAACUCUUUCAAAAUCUCUCUCAUUUCUUUAAACCUGGUUAAUAUUUUUUGUGUGUUGAAUUUGUUAUAACUUUAUUGAUUAAAGCUACUAUUUUUUCUCUUCUAUUUUCUUCUUCAGAUCUGUAGAAGACUGUAGAUGAGAUUUUGGAUUUGGAGCUAAUAGUAUAUCAAAGGUAUCUUAUCUUCAAGUUCUGAUGAUUUUAUGUUUUAUUUUUAUUUUCAGAGCUGUAAAAAUAUUAUGGACGGAACUUUGUAAUCCGGAGAAGUUUGAUGAAUGAGCCUUUAUGAAAUUAGAUCUAUAAAAGUUUGUGGAUGAGAUUUUGAAUCUAGAUCCAAUAACAAAUCAGAGAUAUCUAUGUUCAAGAAUGAUCAAAGGGAAUAUGAACUGAUCUAACAAUAAGAGGAUGCAGGUAUAUGUAUCUCUUUCCUUUUUAUUUAUUUUGUUUUACAUCAAUUUUGUAUCUACAAGGAGAAUAAAUUAAUUUUUCAUGAUUUUUUUUUAAAGGAACAACAGAUAAAUGCAGGUACC